rnacentral:rRNA from 1 species
AAUAGAUACCCCGGUAGUCCACGCCGUAAACGAUGAGUGCUAAGUGUUAGGGGGUUUCCGCCCCUUAGUGCUGCAGCUAACGCAUUAAGCACUCCGCCUGGGGAGUACGGUCGCAAGACUGAAACUCAAAGGAAUUGACGGGGGCCCGCACAAGCGGUGGAGCAUGUGGUUUAAUUCGAAGCAACGCGAAGAACCUUACCAGGUCUUGACAUCCCACUGACCGCUAUGGAGACAUAGCUUUCCCUUCGGGGACAGUGGUGACAGGUGAUGCAUGGUUGUCGUCAGCUCGUGUCGUGAGAUGUUGGGUUAAGUCCCGCAACGAGCGCAACCCUUGAUCUUAGUUGCCAUCAUUUAGUUGGGCACUCUAAGGUGACUGCCGGUGACAAACCGGAGGAAGGUGGGGAUGACGUCAAAUCAUCAUGCCCCUUAUGACCUGGGCUACACACGUGCUACAAUGGACGGUACAAACGGUUGCCAACCCGCGAGGGGGAGCUAAUCCGAUAAAACCGUUCUCAGUUCGGAUUGUAGGCUGCAACUCGCCUA